UACGGAGGGGGCUAGCGUUGUUCGGAAUUACUGGGCGUAAAGCGCACGUAGGCGGCUCUUUAAGUCGGGGGUGAAAUCCUGGAGCUCAACUCCAGAACUGCCUUCGAUACUGAGAGUCUCGAGUCCGGGAGAGGUGAGUGGAACUGCGAGUGUAGAGGUGAAAUUCGUAGAUAUUCGCAAGAACACCAGUGGCGAAGGCGGCUCACUGGCCCGGUACUGACGCUGAGGUGCGAAAGCGUGGGGAGCAAACAGG
rnacentral:rRNA from 1 species